AGUGAGAUUGAACACCCCCCACAACACAUUAAAAUGUACAAAUCCAUAUUUUUAAGGGAUUGCUAUAGACCAGGCAGUGUAAAAUCAUUGACUUUCAGGUCCUGUCGUUCAGACCUCGAAACAGUGGGCAGCAGCCUUCACGUGGACGAGGCAGGGAGGAGGAGUGAAGAAAUACCGGAGAUCCCAGUUUUUCUCAAUGGUGACAGCACAGAACUGCAGGCGGGAUCAUCACACCAACAAGGGCGAAGUCAGGUCCCAGUAUUUUCGCUGCUAUAAGAAUCCUUCCUGUUGCCGUUCUGUAGCCACCGCCCCUUAAUUUAUGGCUCCCGGUAAUCGAGCCUUCGAGG